rnacentral:rRNA from 1 species
AGCGAACGUUAGCGGCGCGCCUAACACAUGCAAGUCGCACGAGAAAGGGAGCAAUCCCCGGUACAGUGGCGCACGGGUGAGUAACACGUAGAUGACCUUCCCUGGAGUGGUGGAUAACCUGCCGAAAGGCGGGCUAAUACAGCAUGGGACCACAUGGUUUUUGACCGAGUGGUGAAAGCGGGCCUCUGUUCACAAGCUCGCGCUCUGGGAUGGGUCUGCGUCCCAUCAGCUAGUUGGUGAGGUAAUGGCUCACCAAGGCAUCGACGGGUAGCUGGUCUGAGAGGAUGACCAGCCACACUGGAACUGAGACACGGUCCAGACUCCUACGGGAGGCAGCAGUGGGGAAUAUUGGGCAAUGGGGGAAACCCUGACCCAGCCAUGCCGCGUGAGUGAUGAAGGCCUUCGGGUCGUAAGCUCUGUGGGAGGGAGAAGUGAUGGCCGUGAACAAUGGUUGUUAUGACGGUACCUCCUUAGCAAGCACCGG